rnacentral:tRNA from 1 species
GCCUUCGUGGUGUAAUGGUCAGCACACUGAGCCGGUAUUUCAGAGGUCCGUGGUUCGAUUCCCGGGAAAGGCA